CCCUCCGCCCCCGCCGCCGCCGGGGGCCCGGGAGGUCUCGUCGGCGCCCCCCCGCGUGCCCUCGGCCUCCCCCAGCUCCGCGCCCGUCCCGCCCCGGCCCUCCCUCGCGCCCCUCCCCACCCCUGCGCCCCCUCGCCCCCUCCCCCGGGUCUCCAGACUGUCCCCUCCUCCCCCACUCCCAGCCUGCACCUCCCCCCCUCCUCUGCGGCCGGGCGACCGCUCCUCCUCCCCACUUGCUUUCGCGCAGGUUUUAAGUAAUCUCCACACCCAAGGUGGGGCUCGAACUCAUGACUCUGAGAUCAAGAGUUGCAUGCUGUUUUGACUGAGUCAGCCAGGCAUCACAAGACAGACAUCUGAGUGCUUAUUUCACCUGUAACAUGGGCCUGGAAGAUUGGCAUGAGUUGUUAAAAUAACAUGUGUCCACUACAAUGCCAGCCACAGGGUAAGGAACAAGACAAAGAUGUCUACCCUCAUCAUGUCUCUUUCACAUUGUUCUGGAGGUGCUGGUCAGAGCAAUAAGGCAAGGAAGACUGGAAAGGAAGAAACACAACUGUCUCGUUCACAAAUGGGGUUGUAUGUGAAAAAUCCUAAGGAAUCCACAAAAAAGGUACUAGAUCUCUCUGCCCUUCCUCCACUCACGCUCUGUUUCUCUCUCUCUCUCUCUCCCCAAAAAUGAAUGAACGUUAAAAAAAGAUUUUAAAAAGCCACUAGAACUAAUGAGUUCUAGUUGCAAGAUUCAGAGAAACAAUGGUAUUUCUAUACACUAGCAACAGGCCAUUUCAAAUAAAAAGUUUUUGCAAUCAAAAAGAAUGAAAUCUUGCCAUUUGCAACAACGUGGAUGGAACUAGAGGGUAUUAUGCUAAGUGAGAUUAGUCAGAGAAAGACAAACAUCAUAUGACUUCACUCAUAUGUGGAAUUUAAGAUACAAAACAGAUGAACAGAAGGGAAGGGAAGCAAAAAUAAUAUAAAAACAGGGAGGGGGACAAGACAUAAGAGACUCUUAGAUACAGGGAACAAACUGAGGGUUGCUGGAGGGGUUGUGGGUGGAGGGAUGGGCUAAAUGGGCAAGGGGCAUUAAAGAGGACACUUGAGAU